rnacentral:lncRNA from 1 species
AAGAUUAAGGCGCCUCAUAAAAGAAGUCUCUUGGCUAGAGAGGUAACGAUCUUUAUUGCAGCCAACACAGAGUGAGUGGCUCUGACGGCUCUCAGGGCAUGCAUUUCUUCACAGGUGAACUCUUCCCUGCUUCUCCCGCUCUUGCAAUGGACUCUUUCCUGCCCAGCUGGGAGAGUUGUGCUGUAUUUAGACGAAGGCCACUUAUUUUCAAGUCCAGAUUCGGCUCCUGGGCUGUUUAGCUGACUAAGCUUUCUGAAAUCCCAAACUCCCCGUCCAUGAAGAAGAUUAAGUCACCUCUGCCAUCGGGGAUUAGAGGACUCACGUGGCCAUGUUGUGAAAAACAUGAAGUGCUCUGUACAUGUGAUGCUGCAUUUGUUGGUUUGCUUUUCUUCCUUCCGGCCACCUCUCCCCACACAGUUCACUGUCCCACAUCAAGGCUGGGAAGACUUCCAGUUUAGGAGUGGAAUCAGUGCCGUCUAUACAUUCUACUUGCGCCUUCUCCAUCUGUUUCUUCCCUUUGUCUUGCUGCGUUCAUACGACGCGAUGUGGCAGCUGCGGGUUUGGAGGAGGCAAACUCCGAAACAGAAAGUUGGAACCCUUGGCUCCCAAGCAGGGAUGCAGGAGAGAAGGACCUGGCGCAGGACGAGAGGCUUCACUGGGUCACCCUGUCUCGGAAGCUGGCUUUCCCCACCCUCUAUGGACAGACUAGAGUGUAAGUUUCUCAGCUUGAGCCUUGGGCCUGCCACCAUCUCACAAAACCAUCUUUCUGCCUUUGCCUCUGACUCUUAUCCUGUUUAGUACCUCAAAAACUGCCAGGCCGGUUUCCUCUCUCCUCUCAAUCAUACUUCUGUAAUCUUAUUUAUCUCCAUGUAAGUCCUAUGUGCCCCAAGAGACUCAUCCUGAGGCCCCAGGAUGACCACUCUCCUCCCCUGGGAAAUUUUCCCUGACCCUCUCAAAUCAGAGAGAUCUUUCUUGCCUCUAUCUCUCUACAGCAUUAGCUGUCUUCCAGAAGUAUUAUUUUCUGCUUUAAACCAUUGAUUAUUUUUUCACAUAUAUUUAUUUUCCUCCAGCUUAGACUGUCAACUCCUAGAGUGCCAGAAGCCUGUCACAGUCCUUUUGCACCUCACACAGGAGUGGAACUGAACAAGAAUGCUUUGAUGGCUGAAGCCAUCCAUCCCUUGGGUUUAAGGACAACCCAGGAACCGCCUGUGACCAGGUGUACUGUUUGAGCAACGUGAGUUGGACAGAGCAAAAAGAAAUGUCAAUGAGGGCUGGGGAUUUAGCUCAGUGGUUCUGGCACCUGCCUCACAAGUGCAAGGACCUGAGUUCAAUCCCUGGUACCAAAAGAAAAGAAAAGAAAUGUCAGUGAAAUCAUAAGGAGCCUACUCUGGGCAGAAGCUUGGCAUUCCCUGCAUUACUGGCACUCACCACCGCACUUCUUGUCAGCCAUUAUUCUACAAAUGCUUGCUGCUGGAGAAGGACGGAUAAAAUGUAUUGAGGUUUACAGGCCAUGGGUCUUCUUUUUUUUUCAAAUUUUUUUUUCAGUUUUAAGGGUCUUCUUUUUUGUGGGGGAGCUACUGGAGGUUGAAUUCAGGGCCUUCUCAAUGAGCCCCAAUCCUUUUAUUUUUUAUUUUGAGACAGGGUCUCAGUAAGUUGCUAAAUUGCUAAGACUGCUUGAAUUUGUGAUUGUCCUGCCUCAGCCUCCUAGAGUACUCAGAAUACAGGUUUGCAUCACUAUGCCCAGCUCAGAGGGUCCUCUUUAUAAGAAAAAUAAAGUUAUCAUUUCAAUGUUGAACUAUUGGUACUCCUUUUGGCAGUAAAAGAACCAGCACCAUUACAAUAAACAUCUGUUUAACAAAAAACAUUUCCACAAAACUUUUGUGCAUAGGGUGGGCAGGGGGCUUGAGAGGAGAGGGGAAUGGGGUAAAAUAAAUUUAAAUUAAAUUUAAAAACAAAGGGCCGAGGAUUUAGCUCAGUGGCACCAUGCCUGCCUGGCAAGUGCAAGGUCCUGAGGUUGAUCCCCAGUACCAAAAAUAAAUAAAUAAAAAUUUAAAAAGGCCGGGCGUGGUGGUGCACUCCUGUAAUCCCAGCACUCGGGAGGCUGAGGCAGGAGGAUGCUGUGAGUUCGAGACCAGCCUGAGCUACAUAGUGAGUUCCUGGUCAGUCUCAACUACAUAGUGAGAUCCUGUCUCGAAAAAUCAAAAAAAAAAAAAAAAAAAAAAAAAAAAAAAAAAAAAAAAAAAAAAAAAAAAAAAAACCGAAAAACAUUUCCAUUUCUUUUGCCCUCCAGGUUUCAUAUGUUUUCCAAGUCUUUCAAAUACAUAAAGUAAGGCAGCAUGGUUGUUCACGCCUGUAAGACCAGCUAAUGGGAAGCCAGGGCAGCAGAAUGAGAAGUUUGAGGACAGUUUGGGGAAUUUACCAAGGCCCUGCCUCAAAAUCAAAACAAAUAAACGGGAUGGGGAUAUGGGUUGGGGUAGAGAGCUUGCUCAGCACGUGGAGACCCUGCACAUGCAUUCCCAGGGCCGCAACAGAACACAAACAUGACAUACAAGUCAGUCUGCUCUUGUAAGGAAAUUUGACUAUCUCAUUAAUCAGACCAGGGCUUCUCAGUCUCAGAAUUAUUUGCCUCUUACUCCGGACAGUUCUUUGUAGGGGCAACUGUCUUGUGCAAUGCAGAUUUUUAGCAACAUCCCUGACUUUGUGCCAGUAGCAACUUCCAGUUAUGGCACCCUGACAUUCUCCAGACAUUAUGAAAUUGUCCUGUCAAGAACCACUGAAGAGCUGGGCAUGGUGGCGCAUGCCUGUGAUCCCAGAACUUGGGAGGCUGAGGCAGGAGGAUCGCUAUGAGUUCGAGACCAGUCUGGACUACGUAGUGAGUUCCAGGUCAGUCUCAACUACAUAGUGAGACCCUGUCUCAAACCCCCCCCCAAAAAAAAAGAACCACUGAGCAAACCUACAACCUGGACCAAACCACCAUCCCUCUGGAACUUGGCUUCUGUGUCUGUACAGUGCUUCUUCAGGGUAAGGAAGAGCAAGUCCACGAAUCCUGGGCUUACGGAGCAUAUCAAACCACGAGCGGGACGUCAGAGUGGAUGCAGCAAUUCUAUGUAGCCGCACUUCAAGGACAGAUUUGAGAGGCCAGGCAUCCAGGACUGUAGUUGGGGACCCAAAGGUCUUGCUCUGCUCCCACUUAGCACUGCUCCUGGACCUAUGCUGGUGACUUUGUAGCACAUAUGUUUACGUAUGACUGUCCUACAGAAUUAUAGAUAUAAUCCACAGC